UUUGCCCCUUGAGGCCUUGCAACCCCAGCGUCAGUGUUGCAGCUGUGUCAUAAGGUGGCAGAGAGAGCUGUGGAGGUCUGCACUUAGACUCUAACACACAUGGAGAACUCUGAGUCAUACUUUCCACCUACU